rnacentral:rRNA from 1 species
AUUGAACGCUGGCGGCAGGCCUAACACAUGCAAGUCGAGCGGAUGAAGGGAGCUUGCUCCUGGAUUCAGCGGCGGACGGGUGAGUAAUGCCUAGGAAUCUGCCUGGUAGUGGGGGAUAACGUCCGGAAACGGGCGCUAAUACCGCAUACGUCCUGCGGGAGCAAGUGGGGGAUCUUCGGACCUCACGCUCUCAGAUGAGCCUAGGUCGGAUUAGCUAGUUGGUGGGGUAAAGGCCUACCAAGGCGACGAUCCGUAACUGAACUGAGAGGAUGAUCAGUCACACUAGAACUGAGACACGGUCAAGACUCCUACGAGAGGCAGCAGUGGGGAAUGUUAGACAGUGGGCGAAAGCAUGAUCCAGCCAUGCCGCGUGUGAGAAGAAGGUCUUCGGAUUGUAAAGCACUUUAAGUUGGGAGGAAGGGCAGUAAGUUAAUACCUUGCUGUUUUGACGUUACCAACAGAAUAAGCACCGGCUAACUACGUG